rnacentral:rRNA from 1 species
UGGGGAAUAUUGGGCAAUGGACGCAAGUCUGACCCAGCAACGCCGCGUGAAGGAAGAAGGCUUUCGGGUUGUAAACUUCUUUUAAGGGGGCAAGAGCAGAAGACGGUACCCCUUGAAUAAGCCACGGCUAACUACGUGCCAGCAGCCGCGGUAAUACGUAGGUGGCAAGCGUUGUCCGGAUUUACUGGGUGUAAAGGGCGUGCAGCCGGGCUGACAAGUCAGAUGUGAAAAGUCCAGGGCUCAACUCUGGAAGUGCAUUUGAAACUAUUGGUCUUGAGUACCGGAGAGGUUAUCGGAAUUCCUUGUGUAGCGGUGAAAUGCGUAGAUAUACGGAGGAACACCAGUGGCGAAGGCGGCCUGCUGGACACCAACUGACGCUGAGGCUCGAAAGCAUGGGUAGCAAACAGGAUUAGAUACC